ACAUACAAAGCCCCCCUUCAACUGACAUGACAAAGGCCUCCUUCUACUAGCUACCAGUCUCAUCAAAAUAAGUCUCAUCUCUAAUCUCUCUUCUCUGUGUGUUUUGGUGAGUCUAGCAAGCUACUAGUCAGUCACAGAGAAAAUACAGACUUACAACACCUAACGGAGAUGUCUGGUGGUCCCCUCUCCUGCUUCUCCAAACAGGGAAUACUCCUACUCUCUAUACUCCACUAUGAAGCUGUUCCCAUUCCAGCCAUGCAGGUGACCUACUCCAACUCAAGUACAGGACUUUGUAACAUCACAGUGAAUUGUUCAGGCUGGAUGUUUUCUGUCUGUGAUGGAGGUCAGUGCCCACUGUACCAGGAAUCUCUGUCAGUCUCUGAGGUCAACAUCACCGUCUCCAGUGGUAAUGGAUUCAUCCAGUGUAUCGUCAACAAUCAUGUCAAUGCAGAGACCAAAUCACAACUCAUGGAGGACAUAUGUAUUGUUGAGAAGAAGGGGAGAGCUGCAGCAUCAACAGUUGGCACCAUUGUGGGUGGUGUUAGUGGUGGAUUGUUCUUCAUUGUGUUAGUUGGUGUAGGAUGGAUCAUGUCAACCAGAAGACGGUGUAAAUAAGAACUGUCAAUGCAGUAUGUCUCAUCUCCUAACAUGUCAACCCAGUGAGCUCUCUACCAGGGGAGAGUCUGGAACCACAGAACACAGUGGGUCCUGAGGUAACAUCAAUCUACGACACUGCAGGGAGACCAGGAGCAGCAGUACCAGCAGCAGUAGCAGGAGGAGAAGAGGGCCAACCAGGGUACAAGUACACCACCAGAAGAG
rnacentral:lncRNA from 1 species